AUUGAACGCUGGCGGCAGGCCUAACACAUGCAAGUCGAGCGGAGCGGCGGACGGGUGAGUAAUGCCUAGGAAUCUGCCUGGUUGUGGGGGAUAACGUCCGGAAACGGGCGCUAAUACCGCAUACUAUCAGAUGAACCUAGGUCGGAUUAGCUAGUUGGUGGGGUAAAGGCCUACAAAGGCGACGAACCGUAACUGGUCUGAGAGGAGGAUCAGUCACACUGUAACUGGGACACGGUCAGAACCCCUACGGGAGGAACAAGAGGGAAAUAUUGGACAAGGGGCGAAAGCCUGAUCCAGCCAGGCCGCGUGUGUGAAGAAGGUCUUCGGAUUGUAAAGCACUUUAAGUUGGGAGGCGUUACCAAAAGAAUAAGCACCGGCUAACUUCGUGCCAGCAGCCGCGGUAAUUC
rnacentral:rRNA from 1 species